AUACUUAUCUGGCAGGGACAUGCCAUGAUCACAAAGCUGGUUUUCCCAGGCGAGGCCUAUCCUUUACACUCUCAGAUGCUCACCCCUGCAAUUUCCCUAAAUGUGAUAAACAUAAAUGCAUAAUUUGUGGUAGUAGAUGACUGUGUUCUUGCUCUCCCCUG
ensembl:snRNA U1 U1 spliceosomal RNA